AAGGCCUUGUAGCGGCGAGUGAGCGGCAAAAGCUCAAUUUGAAUCUGGCUCUUUCAGAGUCCGAGUUGUAAUUUGAAGAAGGUAUCUUUGGGUCUGGCUCUUGUCUAUGUUUCUUGGAACAGAACGUCACAGAGGGUGAGAAUCCCGUGCGAUGAGAUGAUCCAGGCCUAUGUAAAGUUCCUUCGAAGAGUCGAGUUGUUUGGGAAUGCAGCUCUAAGUGGGUGGUAAAUUCCAUCUAAAGCUAAAUAUUGGGCGAGAGACCGAUAGCGAAACAAGUACAGUGAUGGAAAAGAUGGAAAAGAACCUUUGAAAAAAAAAUUGAAAAAGAACGUUGAAAUUGUUGAAAGGGAAAGGGUUUGAAAACAAAACUGGGAAAUUGGGAAGGGAACCCCCCCCCGGGGGGUGCCCCCUAAAGUUUUAUCGGGCCCCCCUUAUUUUGGGGCGGAAAGAAAAAAUUGGGUUUGGGAAUGGGGGCCCGGGCUUCCGGUGGGGGGGUUAAAACCUUUCCCCAAAACUGGCCCCCCCUAAAAUGGGGGAACGGGGGGUUUUAACCCCAGGGAGUUGGGGCAAAAGGGAUCUUAAAUCCCCCCCGUUUGAAAAC
rnacentral:rRNA from 1 species